rnacentral:rRNA from 1 species
GAAGGUGUGCUGUGAGGCAUGCUGGAGGUAUCAGAAGUGCGAAUGCUGACAUAAGUAACGAUAAAGCGGGUGAAAAGCCCGCUCGCCGGAAGACCAAGGGUUCCUGUCCAACGUUAAUCGGGGCAGGGUGAGUCGACCCCUAAGGCGAGGCCGAAAGGCGUAGUCGAUGGGAAACAGGUUAAUAUUCCUGUACUUGGUGUUACUGCGAAGGGGGGACGGAGAAGGCUAUGUUGGCCGGGCGACGGUUGUCCCGGUUUAAGCGUGUAGGCUGGUUUUCCAGGCAAAUCCGGAAAAUCAAGGCUGAGGCGUGAUGACGAGGCACUACGGUGCUGAAGCAACAAAUGCCCUGCUUCCAGGAAAAGCCUCUAAGCAUCAGGUAACAUCAAAUCGUACCCCAAACCGACACAGGUGGUCAGGUAGAGAAUACCAAGGCGCUUGAGAGAACUCGGGUGAAGGAACUAGGCAAAAUGGUGCCGUAACUUCGGGAGAAGGCACGCUGAUAUGUAGGUGAGGUCCCUCGCGGAUGGAGCUGAAAUCAGUCGAAGAUACCAGCUGGCUGCAACUGUUUAUUAAAAACACAGCACUGUGCAAACACGAAAGUGGACGUAUACGGUGUGACGCCUGCCCGGUGCCGGAAGGUUAAUUGAUGGGGUUAGCGCAAGCGAAGCUCUUGAUCGAAGCCCCGGUAAACGGCGGCCGUAACUAUAACGGUCCUAAGGUAGCGAAAUUCCUUGUCGGGUAAGUUCCGACCUGCACGAAUGGCGUAAUGAUGGCCAGGCUGUCUCCACCCGAGACUCAGUGAAAUUGAACUCGCUGUGAAGAUGCAGUGUACCCGCGGCAAGACGGAAAGACCCCGUGAACCUUUACUAUAGCUUGACACUGAACAUUGAGCCUUGAUGUGUAGGAUAGGUGGGAGGCUUAGAAGUGUGGACGCCAGUCUGCAUGGAGCCGACCUUGAAAUACCACCCUUUAAUGUUUGAUGUUCUAACGUUGACCCGUAAUCCGGGUUGCGGACAGUGUCUGGUGGGUAGUUUGACUGGGGCGGUCUCCUCCUAAAGAGUAACGGAGGAGCACGAAGGUUGGCUAAUCCUGGUCGGACAUCAGGAGGUUAGUGCAAUGGCAUAAGCCAGCUUGACUGCGAGCGUGACGGCGCGAGCAGGUGCGAAAGCAGGUCAUAGUGAUCCGGUGGUUCUGAAUGGAAGGGCCAUCGCUCAACGGAUAAAAGGUACUCCGGGGAUAACAGGCUGAUACCGCCCAAGAGUUCAUAUCGACGGCGGUGUUUGGCACCUCGAUGUCGGCUCAUCACAUCCUGGGGCUGAAGUAGGUCCCAAGGGUAUGGCUGUUCGCCAUUUAAAGUGGUACGCGAGCUGGGUUUAGAACGUCGUGAGACAGUUCGGUCCCUAUCUGCCGUGGGCGCUGGAGAACUGAGGGGGGCUGCUCCUAGUACGAGAGGACCGGAGUGGACGCAUCACUGGUGUUCGGGUUGUCAUGCCAAUGGCACUGCCCGGUAGCUAAAUGCGGAAGAGAUAAGUGCUGAAAGCAUCUAAGCACGAAACUUGCCCCGAGAUGAGUUCUCCCUGAC